rnacentral:rRNA from 1 species
GAGUUUGAUCAUGGCUCAGGAUGAACGCUGGCGGCGUGCCUAACACAUGCAAGUCGAACGGAGAGCAUAAACGGAAGUUUUCGGAUGGAAGCUUAUGUUCUUAGUGGCGGACGGGUGAGUAACGCGUGGGCAACCUGCCUCAUACAGGGGGAUAACAGACGGAAACGUCUGCUAAGACCGCAUAAGUCGGAACUACCGCAUGGUAGAUUCGGGAAAAGAGCAAUCUGGUAUGAGAUGGGCCUGCGUCCGAUUAGCUAGUUGGUGAGGUAAUAGCUCACCAAGGCGACGAUCGGUAGCCGGACUGAGAGGUCGGACGGCCACAUUGGGACUGAGACACGGCCCAAACUCCUACGGGAGGCAGCAGUGGGGGAUAUUGCACAAUGGAGGAAACUCUGAUGCAGCGACGCCGCGUGAGUGAAGAAGUAUUUCGGUAUGUAAAGCUCUAUCAGCAGGGAAGAUGAUGACG